rnacentral:rRNA from 1 species
AUUGAACGCUGGCGGCAUGCCUAACACAUGCAAGUCGAACGAGUGGCGGACGGGUGAGUAAUGUCUGGGAAACUGCCUGAUGGAGGGGGAUAACUAGUGGAAACGGUAGCUAAUACCGCAUACCAUCGGAUGUGCCCAGAUGGGAUUAGGUAGUAGGUGGGGUAAAGGCUCACCUAGGCGACGAUCCCUAGCUGGUCUGAGAGGAUGACCAGCCACACUGGAACUGAGACACGGCCCAGACUCCUACGGGAGGCAGCAGUGGGGAAUAUUGCACAAUGGGCGAAAGCCUGAUGCAGCCAUGCCGCGUGUAUGAAGAAGGCCUUCGGAUUGUAAAGUUCUUUCAGCGGGGAGGCGGUACCCACAGAGGAAGCACCGGCUAACUACGUGCCAGCAGCCGCGGUAAUAC